rnacentral:rRNA from 1 species
ACACGACUACAUUAGAUACCCGUGUAGUCCAGGGUGUAAACGAUACUCGCUAGGUGUCGGCCACGGUGCGACCGUUGUCGGUGCCGUAGGGAAGCCGUGAAGCGAGCCACCUGGGAAGUACGGCCGCAAGGCUGAAACUUAAAGGAAUUGGCGGGGGAGCACAACAACGGGUGGAGCUUGCGGUUUAAUUGGAUUCAACGCCGGAAAUCUUACCGGGACCGACAGCAACAUGAAGGCCAAGCUGAAGACUUUGCCGGAUUAGCUG